rnacentral:sRNA from 1 species
AUUAGAAGAUACAAAGACAAAGACUCAUACAGACUUCUGCUAUACCAUCAAAGCUUUGAGAAGCAAGAAGAAGCUUGCUAAGUGUU